GGCUCAUACUGAACACUGUUGAAAGCUGAUAGUCUCUGCCUGAAUUUUUUCCAACACCACUAAAUUAUGUGCGUAGUUUUAUCUAUCUUCCUAAAUAAAUUUUGUCUAGCAUGUGAUUUGAAGCUGGUCUAGAAUUCUUGGUAAGAUUGUUUUCACAAGAAACCUAAGUGGCAAGGGAAAUUGUUUAUCAAAUAAUCAGGUCAUUGCUGUUUUAAAUUUCUCCUAUUCAUACUGUUAAGGGGGGUCUAUCUUUAGCAACUUUCUGACCUCAUGGGGAUUUUUCUCAUGGAAAACGGCUAAUUAGUGUUUUGAUGUCCAAU
rnacentral:lncRNA from 1 species